rnacentral:lncRNA from 1 species
CCUGGUUGUCAACAGCAGCUCAAGUUUGUUUGGAGAUUUGGAAAUAAAUUCUUGAGCCUGACCGUGCAAUCUCUCUUCAUGAGAAAAUAUUGCCCAUUGCACCUGUACAGCACAGUCCCUGCAGACCAGGGAAUGAUCUGCAAAGCAGGCAGUUGGUCCAACAUGCUAUAAACUGCAAUUCAAGAAAGGAAUGUGUUUGGAUAUGAAGUGCUCAGAGCAGCCCUGAAGAAACACUUAUGAGACAAUGCAAGGGGCUGUAGUGCUUCAUGGAAGCGGGAUUUGCUUUUUUGCCAGAAAGAGCAUCGAGAGAUGCAUGCUGCUGUCCUGACGAUAUCACGCAUUCAAAGAACAAUCAUGGUUGAUAUUUCUGGAUUUAUCCUUGCUCC